rnacentral:rRNA from 1 species
CGGAGGGUGCGAGCGUUGUCCGGAAUCAUUGGGCGUAAAGGGCGCGUAGGUGGCCCGGUCAGCGUGCGGUGAAAGCUCGGGGCUCAACCCCGAGUCGGCCGUGCGAACUGCUGGGCUCGAGCACUGUAGAGGCAGGCGGAAUUCCGGGUGUAGCGGUGGAAUGCGUAGAGAUCCGGAAGAACACCGGUGGCGAAGGCGGCCUGCUGGGCAGUGGCUGACACUGAGGCGCGACAGCGUGGGGAGCAAACAGGAUUAGAUACCCUGGUAGUCCACGCCGUAAACGAUGGGCACUAGGCGCUUGGGGGAGCGACCCUCCGAGGGCCGGCGCUAACGCAUUAAGUGCCCCGCCUGGGGAGUACGGCCGCAAGGCUG